GAGAGAGAAGAGAGAGAGAGAGAGAGAGAGAGAGAGAGAGAAAGAGAGAGAGAGAGAUGUGCGGUGCGACAGAGCUGCGUCAGCGCUGCGGAGGAGGUAGCGGUUGACAUCGCCCGACCGGGCCGCAGCGGAGGACCAGGGGAUUGCCCGGGAGCCUAAGGUGAAGCUAGGCCUCCACCUGCCGCCACCUUGGACGUGGAUCCCAAGUCUGCGACGGCUUCUCGGAGCCACACAGCGCAGGCAGCUCGGAUGAUCCAUCCGAAUAAGCAGCCGGAGGGGAAAGAGCAGGAGUCGUGGACCUUACUCCAGCCCAGCCCAGCCCCGAGCCCGAGGAAGCAGCAGAGGAAGAUGCUGAUGUCGCUGCCCACGCUGACAGUGCUAGUGCCCCUCAUCUCUCUGGCCGGCCUGAUCUACUCGGCCUCCGUGGAUGAGAAUUUCCCCCAUGGCUGCACCAGCACGACCAGCCUGUGCUUUUACAGUCUUCUCUUGCCCAUUAUCCUGCCGGUUUGCGUGAUUCUCUACCUCUGGACCUGGACACAAAAUUAAUGCAAUCCGAGUCCCCCACCCCCACCCCAGCCCAGCCCACCUCCCAGAGAGCAUUUACAUAGCAGGGCCUGUUGUCUACAUUUUAACAAGAAAACGAUCUCUUAUUUCAUUCCACUUAACUCUUAAUAGACUGGAAUGAUCUCCUUUUCCCUCUCAUAGGGAACUAAGGUUUUCAUCCCUCAGAGAUUCAGGAGUAAGGAUCUUGUUCAUUUUCAUCCUGUCUUCUUGUUCCCGAGCUGGGGGUAGGGGCGGUGGGGGUGGGGAUCCCCUUCUUAUUCUUUUCUUUAAAAUAUUCUCCUAUAUCUUGAUCUAUGGAAGUGCUUGAUUUUUAGUUCUGAUUAUACUCCACUCAAAGUUAAAUACAUUCACCAAAAGGUUUUUUGAUUAUUUUCAUCACUAGGUUAGAGGUCUUUGUAAUGGAAGGAAAUUAUAGAUAAAUCUUUUCAAAGACGCUAUACCAAAUAAUUUGCUCAUUUAAACAGUUUCAGAUAAAUUCAUUUGAAUUAGCAUUCAUGCAAAGGCUUACAAUAAAAUGGAAAUUGAUGUGUAUAGGAAAAAUAGCAGAGGGGGUGGGGGGGAAUUAGAGGUGACCUACCCUGACACAACUUAGACCUGAAAUUCAAUUAAAACAGGAUGUUCCUGAAAGUAGAAACAUUCCAAAUUCACCUCAGCUUUGAUUCCCAAAGAGCACAAAUAUCAAACUUGUGAUACACUGAAAGGUUUAUCAGAGAUUAGAAUCUCCAGUGUGGGCCCUAAGGAAAGCCUGGGUUUUAGGAAAGCCUUGUAGGGGGUUGACAGAAGUUUGAGACCUCAUUGAGAACAGGAAAACUGACAAGUCUGUAAAGCUGUGAACUCCCCUUGGAGAAAUACUGAUUUCUCCCCCGGGUACUUAGUGCUUGGAUUUCUAACCAUUUCUAAGCUUGAUGUUAAAGAUUCUUGGUUCCUUGUGGAUGUCUAAAAGUAGCUGGAAUAAUGUUUUGAGCUUUAAAAUUGAGCUAUUUGAAAUACAGAUUUGUAUUGGUUUAAUAAAUUUAUUAGGGAAAACUGUUA